rnacentral:rRNA from 1 species
ACGGGAGGCAGCAGUGGGGAAUCUUCCGCAAUGGGCGAAAGCCUGACGGAGCAACGCCGCGUGAGUGAAGAAGGUUUUCGGAUCGUAAAGCUCUGUUGUCAGGGACGAGAGAUUAGUUCAGGAAAUGGGACUAAGAGGACGGUGCCUGGCGAGAAAGCCACGGCUAACUACGUGCCAGCAGCCGCGGUAAUACGUAGGUGGCGAGCGUUGUCCGGAAUUAUUGGGCGUAAAGGGAGCGCAGGUGGGAAUAUAAGUCAGUCUUAAAAGUGCGGGGCUCAACCCCGUGAUGGGAUUGAAACUGUAUUUCUUGAGUGCAGGAGAGGAAAGCGGAAUUCCUAGUGUAGCGGUGAAAUGCGUAGAUAUUAGGAGGAACACCAGUGGCGAAGGCGGCUUUCUGGACUGUAACUGACACUGAGGCUCGAAAGCGUGGGGAGCGAACAGGAUUAGAUACCCUGGUA